rnacentral:lncRNA from 1 species
GUCCACAUCUGGGACAUCAAUGUCCACUUUGGGGUCCCUGAUGUCAACUUCGGGGCCCUUGAGGUCGCCUUCCACUUUGGGCAGAGAAAUGUCCAUGUCGCCCUUCACCUUUGGACCUUUCAGAUUCAGGUCAACUUCAGGCAUAGAGAUCUUCGGUGCCUUGAGGUGCAGGUCAGGCAUUUUAAAUUUGGGGCCCUUCAGUUUCCCUUCUGGACCAUGAAUAUCAAUAUCAGGAGUGUCAAUGUCCACUUUGGGUCCUGAGACAUCAAUGUCAGCCUUGGGCAGGUUCACAUCCACUUCAGGGCCCUCUGCUUUGAAGCCAGGCAUGCUGAACUUGGGCAUUUUCAUCUUGGGCAUCUUCAGGUGCCAGUCUGGGCCAUGAACAUCCACAUCUGGGGCAUCAAUGUCCACUUUGGGCCCUCUGAUGUCAACAUCUGGCACUUUCAUUUCACCUUCUACCUUGGGAACAGACACAUCCAUAUCUGGGGCAUCAAUGUCCACUUUGGGCCCUUU